rnacentral:rRNA from 1 species
AGUGAACGCUGGCGGUAGGCCUAACACAUGCAAGUCGAACGGCAGCACAGUAAGAGCUUGCUCUUACGGGUGGCGAGAGGCGGACGGGUGAGGAAUACAUCGGAAUCUACUUUUUCGUGGGGGAGAACGUAGGGAAACUUACGCUAAUACCGCAUACGACCUACGGGUGAAAGCAGGGGAUCUUCGGACCUUGCGCGAUUGAAUGAGCCGAUGUCGGAUUAGCUAGUUGGCGGGGUAAAGGCCCACCAAGGCGACGAUCCGUAGCUGGUCUGAGAGGAUGAUCAGCCACACUGGAACUGAGACACGGUCCAGACUCCUACGGGAGGCAGCAGUGGGGAAUAUUGGACAAUGGGCGCAAGCCUGAUCCAGCCAUACCGCGUGGGUGAAGAAGGCCUUCGGGUUGUAAAGCCCUUUUGUUGGGAAAGAAAAGCAGCAGGUUAAUACCCCGCUGUUCUGACGGUACCCAAAGAAUAAGCACCGGCUAACUUCGUG